rnacentral:tRNA from 1 species
GCCGGCGUAGCACAGCUGAUAGUGCAGUCGAUUUGUAAUCGAAAGGUCGGGGGUUUGAAUCCCUCCGCCGGCA